rnacentral:rRNA from 1 species
GACGAACGCUGGCGGCGUGCUUAACACAUGCAAGUCGAGCGGUAAGGCCCUUUCGGGGGUACACGAGCGGCGAACGGGUGAGUAACACGUGGGUGACCUGCCCUUAGCUCUGGGAUAAGCCUGGGAAACUGGGUCUAAUACCGGAUAUGACCUCAUGACUCAUGUUGUGGGGUGGAAAGCCUUGUGCGGCUAGGGAUGGGCCCGCGGUCUAUCAGCUUGUUGGUGGGGUAAUUGCCUACCAAGGCGACGACGGGUAGCCGGCCUGAGAGGGCGACCGGCCACACUGGGACUGAGACACGGCCCAGACUCCUACGGGAGGCAGCAGUGGGGAAUCUUGCGCAAUGGGCGAAAGCCUGACGCAGCGACGCCGCGUGA